ACCUCAGUAAUGGCAAUGUUAUCCAGGACGACAUGCUGUGUGCCGGGAGCGAAGGCCGGGACUCCUGCAAGGGUGACUCUGGGGGCCCCUUGGUCUGUAAAUGGAGGGGUACCUGGGUCCAGGUAGGCGUGGUGAGUUGGGGGCACAAGUGCGGUCUUGCCAACUUUCCUGGAGUCUAUGCCCGGGUGAAAUAUUUCUUGCCUUGGAUCCACCAUCAUAUUCAUUCCUCUCCUUGAGCCCGGGGCCGGGCAAGGAUGCUGCCCAUGAGAUGAAGACAGGCCCUCCAGGGUGUCUGGGGGACCCUCCCUGCUCCCUCCCAGUGCCAGCUCUUCAUUGCACCUAGCGCCCCUCCUCCAUCCCUCCCCCCCCAGCCCCUCUGAGAUCCUCCUGCCUCAGCACCUCCAUCAGCCUCUCUCCCCUGACAGGCAAAAGGGAGAGGUGGGAUGUGCUCUGAAGUCAGGCGGGCACUGCAGGACUCCUGCCUCCUCCCCGCCCCCUGUAGCUCAUUAAACUGCAUGAAAAACUGC